CCUACGGGUGGCAGCAGUAGGGAAUCUUCCACAAUGCGCGAAAGCCUGAUGGAGCAACGCCGCGUGGGUGAAGAAGGUCUUCGGAUCGUAAAACUCUGUUGUUAGAGAAGAAAGUGCGUGAGAGUAACUGUUCACGUUUCGACGGUAUCUAACCAGAAAGCCACGGCUAACUACGUGCCAGCAGCCGCGGUAAUACGGAGGUGGCAAGCGUUAUCCGGAGUUAUUGGGCGUAAAGGGCACGCAGGCGGUCUUUUAAGUCUGAUGUGAAAGCCUUCGGCUUAACCGGAGUAGUGCUUGUGAUACUGGGAGACUUGAGUGCAGAAGAGGAGAGUGGAACGCCAUGUGUAGCGGUGAAAUGCGUAGAUAUAUGGAAGAACACCAGUGGCGAAGGCGGCUCUCUGGUCGGUAACUGACGCUGAGGUGCGAAAGCGUGGGUAGCAAACAGGAUUAGAUACCCGUGUAGUC
rnacentral:rRNA from 1 species